rnacentral:rRNA from 1 species
UGGGGACUAUUGCGCAAUGGACGAAAGUCUGACGCAGCGACGCCGCGUGAGGGAUGAAGGUUUUCGGAUCGUAAACCUCUGUCAGGAGGGAAGAAAGCGCAUGGCGCCAAUCAGCCAUGCGUUGACGGUACCUCCAAAGGAAGCGCCGGCUAACUCCGUGCCAGCAGCCGCGGUAAUACGGAGGGCGCGAGCGUUAAUCGGAAUUACUGGGCGUAAAGCGCGCGUAGGCUGUUGUGUAAGUUGGGGGUGAAAUCCCACGGCUCAACCGUGGAACAGCCCUUGAUACUGCGCGACUUGAAUCCGGGAGAGGGUGGCGGAAUUCCAGGUGUAGGAGUGAAAUCCGUAGAUAUCUGGAGGAACAUCAGUGGCGAAGGCGGCCACCUGGACCGGUAUUGACGCUGAGGCGCGAAAGCGUGGGGAGCAAACAGG